rnacentral:rRNA from 1 species
AUUGAACGCUGGCGGCAUGCUUUACACAUGCAAGUCGAACGGUAACAGGGAGCUUGCUCCGCUGACGAGUGGCGAACGGGUGAGUAAUGCGUCGGAACGUGCCGAGUAGUGGGGGAUAACGCAUCGAAAGGUGUGCUAAUACCGCAUACGUACUGAGGUAGAAAGUGGGGGACCUUCGGGCCUCACGCUAUUCGGGCGGCCGACGUCUGAUUAGCUAGUUGGUGAGGUAAAGGCUCACCAAGGCGACGAUCAGUAGCGGGUCUGAGAGGAUGAUCCGCCACACUGGGACUGAGACACGGCCCAGACUCCUACGGGAGGCAGCAGUGGGGAAUUUUGGACAAUGGGCGCAAGCCUGAUCCAGCCAUGCUGCGUGUCUGAAGAAGGCCUUCGGGUUGUAAAGGACUUUUGUCCGGGAGCAAAUGCCUGGUGUUAAUAGCACUGGGAGCUGAGAGUACCGGAAGAAUAAGCACCGGCUAACUACGUGCCAGCAGCCGCCGUAAAAC